GCGCGGCCUCCGCCGAGUCCGGUGCGCCCCCGCGCGGCCGCCGGAGCCGGGGACCCACCGAUCCUGGGGUGAAUCGGCCGACUCCCGCCCGGGACGACGCCGUAGGGCAACCCUUCCGAACCAUCCGCCCGAACCCGACAGCUAACCCGGUAGGCGGCACAUUGGAAGGAGUC
rfam:Streptomyces cellostaticus strain DSM 40189 genomic scaffold PRJNA299219_s004, whole genome shotgun sequence.